AUGGCAAUAUCGAAUACCUCCAUCAUUUUCCCCAUUAUUGUGUUCGUGCUUCUUUCCACAAACAUCCCUACUCAAGCUAGCGACUCUGGUAGUGGAAACUCAAAGGCAACCAACCUCAUGGUGGAAGCAUGCAAGAACGCCUCAAUUAACUCCUACAUCAAGACUGUCCCCGAAGAAUUUUGUUUGUCGACCCUCCAGUCGGACAUUCGGAGCAUCAAGGCUAAGGAUCUCCAUGAUCUAGUGCUCAUUGCCAUGGACAUCACCAAGGGCCGCCUCACUUCUGCUAGUGGCAUGGUCAAGAAAAUGCUGCAAAAUGCCAAGAAGGGUACGGUAAGGAUGCGUGUCCUCCGUUUCUGUGAGGUGGACUAUGAAGAAAUGGCAAGCAUUCUCAACAUAUGUGAUGCCAUGAUCAGGAACUACCAAGGAUACAAGGGAAACAUGCGGUUCCAAGAGCUGGCUAGCUGUGUGAAUGACGCAUAUGACCCUGCCGGCGCAUGCGAAGAAGAGCUUCAAGAUAUGCCAGAGGAGGCGGCGCUGUUCAAGGAAAACACUGAACUGCAAUCGCUAGUAUGGAUGGGCACUAACUUCCUAGUCCCAAUGGUAGUACCAUAA
rnacentral:rRNA from 1 species